UGGAUAUGGGGGAUGGGGGUGAUAUGAAAAAACGUUAUGUUAGUAAACUAACACAUCGUACAACACUGUUUGUCAGUUUUUUGUUCGCUUUUGAACUUGAAUAUCUUGAACUUGAAUAUCUUGAAUUGCAUAACGAAAGGCCCCAGAAAUAUUUAUAUCGAAGAAACGGAUGUCACUUGGAAUAGUACUUCACCAUUUUCAGGGUCACAAUUAUUUCCAACCAUCAUUAUCGAUACCUUCAUAUUCUGCUUAGACUUGAUAGAUAUUUUUUUUUGCAAGGUCAAUUGCAAUGUGAUAUUGCAUCUAUUGCAAAUCGGCGCGCAUAGCGCGGUGACUUUUCCGAGGCCACGCCUAUUUCAGGUAUCGUUGGUUACGCCCCUUGUCUACUGACUGUUUAGCUUUAGCCUCGAAUCCAGGCCGAUUAAAAUAUGUAUUUUAAUCGGCCUGGUCUCGAGGCUUAACCCUAACACAAAAUAAUGUUACAGAACACAUUCUCUUCAUGAUGGAGAAAUAGCAAAGUUUUAUUUAGCAAGACACUUAUCGCUUGUUGAAAAACAAAUGAUUAGGUGAGUUUGGUUCUGGAAGUUAUACAAUUAUAGUUCUAGCAUGCACAUUAUUUUGGUCCAUUAUGUGUUAUGGUCAGGUCUUCCAAUAGAAGCGACCCCUAAUUAUUACAAAGUGUCGCCUAGAUUAAGCUAUAGGAUACACACACUCGUUUAACAGUUUAAAAUUCUUGUGGUAUUUAUCCUUUGAAGGUGGUUAAUAGAUAGGUGGUUAACCCUUUCCCGGCUUUAGCCGUCAUAUGACGGCAGCGGUAGUGAUAAUUUUCAAAAAAUUGUUGUGGGCGCUGUGUUGGAGCUAUGCACACACUGUAGGUACCAGCACAUGCGCAUUGGGCUGCUCUUUCACAUGGUAUCUUUAAUAUCUUGCCUCGAGGUACGCUUUGUGCAGUACUGUCGAAAGAAAAGUGACCGUUUGAUAAUGGCUACAAGAUCUUUGUAGUACAACCUCAGCGAGGUUCUAGGGCAGCUAGACAGUGAGAAUAACGAUACUUAUGGCCUUGUUGAGUAAGAGGACAGUGACUGGGAUCAUACCAAGAGAGGAAACUACUUCUCAGAGGUCAAGCUAUAAACAUAGAGCCUGAAGAGCCGGAGGAAGAAGCUCCUGAGCAUGAACCAAAGUCCUGGACCUUGUGAAGAAAACAUUUCCCGGGAAAAGAGCGUCUGCCGAUACGACCUCGCAGAGAAGUUUCUGCUGAUCCUGAUUGAACCAUGUCACUGUGAGAACAUUGAGAACACUUACUUAGUGUUUUUAGUUACUUCAUGCCUUCAUACAAUAUUCUUUAUGUUCAUAAUUGUGAAA